rnacentral:misc_RNA from 1 species
GAUGAAGAACGUAGCGAAAUGCGAUACGUAAUGUGAAUUGCAAAUUCAGUGAAUCAUCGAGUCUUUGAACGCACAUUGCGCCCCCUGGUAUUCCGGGGGCCAUGCCUGUCCGAGCGUCAUUGCUGCCCUCAAGCACGGCUUGUGUGUUGGGCCCCGUCCUCCGAUCCCGGGGGACGGGCCCGAAAGGCAGCGGCGGCACCGCGUCCGGUCCUCGAGCGUAUGGGGCUUUGUCACCCGCUCUGUAGGCCCGGCCGGCGCUUGCCGAUCAACCCAAAUUUUUAUCCAGGUUGACCUCGGAUCAGGUAGGGAUACCCGCUGAACUUAAGCAUAUCAAUAAGCGGAGGA